rnacentral:rRNA from 1 species
UAACGAAUAUUCCGCAAUGCGCGAAAGCGUGACGGAGCAAUGCCGCGUGCAGGAUGAAGCCCCUCGGGGUGUAAACUGCUGUCAGGGUUUAGGAACACCAUGACCAAACCCAAAGGAAGGACCGGCUAACUCUGUGCCAGCAGCCGCGGUAAUACAGAGGGUCCAAGCGUUGAUCGGAAUCACUGGGCUUAAAGGGUUCGCAGGCGGACUGGCAAGUAUGUUGUGAAAUCCCACGGCUCAACCGUGGAAUUGCUUCGUAGACUGCCAGUCUUGAGCACGACAGGGGCCAUCAGAACGAUAGGUGGAGCGGUGAAAUGCGUAGAUAUCUAUCGGAAUGCCAAAGGUGAAGACAGAUGGCUGGGUCGUCGCUGACGCUCAGGAACGAAAGCAUGGGUAGCGAACGGGAUUAGAUACCCGUGUAGUCC